UAGAUUGAAUGGAGAAGUCGUCUUUACUUGUGUGAAUAAACAAGUUCAAAGUUUUGAUAAUGUAAAAGUAUAUGCAUCUAAUCCUUGGCAUGAUGUCCAAGAUGGUUUAAUAAGGAAUUUGUUUAUUAUCAAUGGUAUUUCAAGUAAUGAUUUGCAACCAGUUGUUCUUUUACCUACAGAUAAUAAUGAUUGCACAAACUUGAUUGAUUACUGUGACUGGGCAAAUAAUGGCUGUG
rnacentral:lncRNA from 1 species